rnacentral:rRNA from 1 species
GCAUAUCAAUAAGCGGAGGAAAAGAAACUAACAAGGAUUCCCCUAGUAACUGCGAGUGAAGCGGGAAAAGCUCAAAAUUUAAAAUCUGGUGGUCUCCGGCCAUCCGAGUUGUAAUCUAGAGAAGUGUUACCCGCGUCGGACCGUGUACAAGUCUCCUGGAAUGGAGCGUCAUAGAGGGUGAGAAUCCCGUCUUUGACACGGACUACCGAGGCUUUGUGGUGCGCUCUCAAAGAGUCGAGUUGUUUGGGAAUGCAGCUCAAAAUGGGUGGUAAAUUCCAUCUAAAGCUAAAUAUUGGCGAGAGACCGAUAGCGAACAAGUACCGUGAGGGAAAGAUGAAAAGAACUUUGGAAAGAGAGUUAAACAGUACGUGAAAUUGCUGAAAGGGAAACGCUUGAAGUCAGUCGCGUUGGCCGGAAAUCAGCCUUGCUUUUGCGGGGUGUACUUUCUGGUUGACGGGCCAGCAUCAGUUUUGACCGGUGGAAAAAGUUCAAGGGAAUGUGGCAUCUUCGGAUGUGUUAUAGCCCUUGUUCGUAUACAUCGAUUGGGACUGAGGAACUCAGCACGCCGAAAGGCCGGGUCUUUGACCACGUUCGUGCUUAGGAUGCUGGCAUAAUGGCUUUAAUCGACCCGUCUUGAAACACGGACCAAGGAGUCUAACAUGCCUGCGAGUGUUUGGGUGGAAAACCCGGACGCGCAAUGAAAGUGAAAGUUGAGAUCCUUGUCAUGGGGAGCAUCGACGCCCGGACCAGAAGUUUUCUGACGGCCCUGCGGUAGAGCAUGUAUGUUGGGACCCGAAAGAUGGUGAACUAUGCCUGAAUAGGGUGAAGCCAGAGGAAACUCUGGUGGAGGCUCGUAGCGAUUCUGACGUGCAAAUCGAUCGUCAAAUUGGG